GCAUCGGUGGUUCAGUGGUAGAAUGCUCGCCUGCCACGCGGGCGCCCCAAGUUCAAUUCCCGGCCGAUGCA
rnacentral:tRNA from 1 species